AUCAUCUGAAUAAUUAGUUAGAAAUUUUUUUACAUCGGAAAUAAUUAGUGUUGUCAUAUGGAGUAUAUGGUCAUACUCGUUUAGAUGUGCAAUUCAACAGUUUUACCAUCCAAACAGGAUUUGACAUUGGUAAGCUGCCAUUGAUAGGAUUUGGCAUUGGUAAGCUGCCAUGGAUACCAAGUGCCAAAUACACGCCAUCCAAACAUUAGAAUUGACAUUCAAGCUCAAUAUCAGUACAUCAAGAUAUUUGGUACUGGAGCCAAUUCAAUGCAGCUCUCCAAUGUCUACAUCCAAACAGAGCCUGAGAGAACAACUUGUUUGGCCCGAUUUGAAAAUGAUUAUUUGGCGCUAAAUUCCCCCCCCCCCACCCCCAUUCCCCCUCCCUAUCUAAAUUUGUUCCUUCUAUGCCAUUUCCAUCCAUUUUCUCAUCCAACGGCAUUAUCUGACAUGUGAAAAGACCAUUGUGCCCUCAAUAAUUUCUUCCUUGUUUGGCCCUCUAUUCAAAAUGGUCUUUCAUGUGCCAGCUAACACCGUUGGAUGGAAAUGUCAUAUGCGGAACAAAAUUUAGAUAGAGUGCCAAAUAGGGGAAAAAAUAGGGCAAAAUAGGGAAGCAUAUUUUGAAAUAAGGGAAAAUAAGGAAUUCUCUCAAUAUCUAAUGGGUCGGGCCAGUACCACCUUUUGAGGGCCCACUGUGACGAGUGAACAAAACAACAACCACAUGCUAAAACGCCAACCUCUUCCCUGUGUCGUCUUCUAGAUCUUGCUGGAGACUUCAUUCCCGAAUCAAAAUGUCCCGCGAUGGCGACUCACCGGCGGUCGCGCCUAUGUCCCCACUGAACGAAGACGAUCGCCUCCGAGAGAUCCUCGUAUGUCCGUGUCCCUGCCGGACGAAGACGGUCUCUUCCGGGAGAUCCUCGUCGGUGCCACGAAGAUGAUCUCGUUUGUAUCUUGCCGUAGUCGCCCCCCCCCCCUCGCGUGCCUCACUGGCGGCGUUGGCCUCUCCGCUCGAAGACGAAGAUCUCGGGGAGAUCCUCCUCCACCUCCCGCCGCAGCCGUCCUCCCUCCCACGCGCCUCUGCCAUCUGCAAGCGUUGGCGAGGCCUCCUCACCAACCCCAAGUUCUUCUACCGCUUUUAUGCCCACCAUCGCAAGCCACCCCUCCUCGGCGUCUUUGAGAUUUGGAACAGAAGGCACCACUUCGUGUGAAUCAUGGACCCUCCCAGCUGCAUCCCCCCUCAGCGCUUCGACCUGGCAUGACACGGCGGCUUCCUCGAAAGUGUUGUGCUCGAUUGCCGCCACGGCCGUGUCCUCGUCAAGUACCGGGUGCAGGAAGAGUUCGUUGUGUGUGACACCAUCAGCGGUGAUCAGCUCCACAUGUCUAUUCCACCGAAGUUCAGGAGGAAGAUAUUUGUCGGUGCGGCGGGGCUUUGCGCUGUCGGUGACCAUGGCCAUGUGCACGGCAGCUGCCACUCUACUCCUUUCAAGGUGGUCUUUGUGUACACAACAAAAGAUAUAAGAACCCAUGGAUGUGUUUACUCUUCGGAGACUGGCAUAUGGUCAAUAUUAUAUCAACAUCGACUCCAUGUCAGCUUUUUGUUGUUUGUUUUGCUGGUACCCUCAUUGCUAAGGCCCUUUAUUGGCCGCUUUUUAUGCCCUGCAAGGGCAUACUGCAGUUUAAUUUGGAAGAGCAGAGCCUAGCAGUGAUUAAGGGGCCUCCUUUGACAAAUGGUUUCUACAAGAGCAGCUUUCGGAUCAUCCAGGCCGAGGACGGUAUUGUUGGCUUAGCCAUAUAUAUUGUCUUACCCUCGCUUCCAAAUGUGUAAAAGGGACAUCAAUUGGCAUGGUGUUGCCAUAUGGGUGCUGCAAAAGACCAUUGAAAUACAUAGCAUUCUUGGGCUCCCUCCCCAGAUUGAAGGAGGGACAAGAGUGAGACAAACUAAAGUGGGAUAUUCUGAGGAUACUGAUGUAGUUUUCAUAUUUGUGGGCAGCAGUCUAUACAUGGUUCAACUUAAAUCGAUGCAAUCCAAGAGGCUUUAUGGAACCAGUCAUUUUCCUUGCUACUAUCCUCUCACAAGAUUCUAUGCACCAGGUGAGGGAAUGACUGCUGCAGUUCUCACCGGGUUUGUUCCAUCUCAUCGAUGUGGUUGGCACUAUUUAUAUGUUAUCUGCAAGAAAAAAAACUUAUCAUGCCAGUCGAGCCAAGUUUCUAAUCCAGGGAAUUUCAGCUUAACCUAGUAGUAUUAUUUGAAGUCGGUUUUCAGCCCCAUCUUGUUUUCUUUAUAUGCUUGUGCUUGGAGGCUUGUCUCUUUGGCCCAAAUAUGACCUAAACUUAAUUAUAUGUUUGUCAGUUUGUGUAUUCUUCUCGGCUGUGGUAUGAGAAGCAUGACAUUACAGUCGAUGUUUUGUGUAAGCCAGGAGAGUUUCAGCAGUAAGCAUCGCCUAGACUUGUAUUGUUGUGUA